rnacentral:rRNA from 1 species
UACGAAGGGUGCAAGCGUUGCUCGGAAUUAUUGGGCGUAAAAGGGUAGGUAGGUGGUGACAUUUGUCUGAGGUGAAAGCCCUAAGCUUAACUUAGGAAGUGCCUUGGAAACGGUGUCACUAGAGUGCUGGAGAGGUUCGUAGAAUUCCCGGUGUAGCGGUGAAAUGCGUAGAGAUCGGGAGGAAUACCAGAGGCGAAGGCGAACGAACUGGACAGUUACGUGACACUAAACUACGAAAGCGUGGGGAGCAAACAGGG